UACAAAUUAUAUUACUUUUUAUUGACCUCGUCCUUCAUUCAAGGUCACAAAGGUCAAAUAAUCAAAAAUCAAAAAUUUCAAAUUCUCUUUCAAACGGUUUAUUUCAUCGAAUAUGAAAGAAAACGUUCGUUUUAAGAUGUAUGCAACGUUUCAAGAUCAAAUCGUCAAAUAUAUCUUAGAAAAAAACCAUUUGGAAAACAUUUUACUGCCAAAAUUUAAUAUUAUCCUACAAUUACACUUGAAAUGUUUUUCUUUCAAUACUCGGGACACCUACAUACUUGAUAAUUGGCACAUCUAUAGCAUGAAUGACUGGCUACAAAAGGUAUGCAAAUCUUUGAUCUUGACCUUCGAAGUUCAAGGUCACAGACAGGUUUGAAAAUCAACUGAUCCGAUAAAGAAGGGAAGCGAAGAGAAAACGAAGAGAAAUCGCAGGUAAAACGUACAAAAGCGUUCGUCAGAACGAGAACAUGUCUGCGAUCAUUUUCUUGUUGGAAAUCCCGUGUGUUGAUCUUGAACAAAUCUAGUUUCCAUUUGGAAUUUGACCUAAACAACAUGAUAAAUAGAUCACUAACUAAUUAAGAUAACACAAUCCUGAUGUACGAAAUGAUCCUGCGGUCUUUCCCCUCUCUCAUAGACUUUUUGUAAAUGUACAUCUGGAGAGGGUCUGAACUUCGUUUCUGGUUAUAUAUUUUAAGCAGUUAAGAUCUUAAGUACAUUACCAAAUAUAGGAUCGUUUAACAUCAACAAAUACAACUAUUUACGAAUUGAACAUACAUUUGACCUUUGGUCAAAUACGACCGGGUGAGCGAUACAGGCCCUCUGAGCCUCUUGUUCUUCGUUUAUAUCAGAGGCUAUUGAAAUAAUUAUCGAUAUUUACAACAAUAGUAUGGUCACUUUUCCGACCUAUCUUAUCAUUAUCCAGCCCCUCUCGAUCCAAGCGACAAAUUAACAAAUAGAUUAUUGGAUCCUUGUGUUUGAUUUUACUUUAUUCAUGGAAAUAUAUCAAAAGAGAUGAAAGCAAUAAUCAAGAAAGGGUGAUAAUUGAGAUCUUAUUGUGUUAAUUAGGAAGUUAGGUGAUAAUUGGAAUAAUCACGUGAUAAUUGGAAUAGUAAGGUGAUAAUUGGAAUAGUAAGGUGGUAAUUGGAAUAGCAAUUUGAUAAUUUGAAAUAGUAAGGUGAUAAUUGGUAUAGUAAGGUGAUAACUGGGUGAUAAUUGGAAUAGUAAGGUGAUAAUUGGAAUAGUAAGGUGAUAAUUGAUAUAGUAAGGUGAUAAUUGGAAUAGUAAGGUGAUAAUUGGAAUAGUAAGGUGAUAAUUGAUAUAGUAAGGUGGUAAUUGGUAUAGUAAGGUGAUAAUUGGUAUAGUAAGGUGAUAAUUGGUAUAGUAGGAUGAUAAUUGGGUGAUAAUUGGAAUAGUAAGGUGCUAAUUGGUAUAGUAAGGUGAUAAUUGGUAUAGUAGGGUGAUAAUUGGGUGAUAAUUGGAAUAGAAUGGUGAUAAUUGGGUGAUAGUUGGAAUAGUAGGGUGAUAAUUGGUAUAGUAGGGUGAUAAUUGGGUGAUAAUUGGAAUAGUAAGGUGAUAAUUGGAAUAGUAAGGUGAUAAUUGGGUGAUAAUUGGAAUAGUAAGGUGAUAAUUGGAAUAGUAAGGUGAUAAUUGGAAUAUUAGGGUGAUAAUUGGAAUAGUAAGGUGAUAAUCGGUAUAGUAGGGUGAUAGCUGGGUGAUAAUUGGAAUAGUAAGGUGAUAAUUGGAAUAGUAAGGUGAUAAUUGGAAUAUUAGGGUGAUAAUUGGAAUAGUAAGGUGAUAAUCGGUAUAGUAGGGUGAUAGCUGGGUGAUAAUUGGAAUAGUAAGGUGAUAAUUGGAAUAGUAAGGUGAUAAUUGGAAUAUUAGGGUGAUAAUUGGAAUAGUAAGGUGAUAAUCGGUAUAGUAGGGUGAUAGCUGGGUGAUAAUUGGAAUAGUAAGGUGAUAAUUGGAAUAGUAAGGUGAUAAUUGGAAUAUUAGGGUGAUAAUUGGAAUAGUAAGGUGAUAAUCGGUAUAGUAGGGUGAUAGCUGGGUGAUAAUUGGAAUAGUAAGGUGAUAAUUGAUAUAGUAAGGUGAUAAUUGGAAUAGUAAGGUGAUAAUUGGUAUAGUAGGGUGAUAAUUGGGUGAUAAUUGGAAUAGUAGGGUGAUAAUUGAUAUAGUAAGGUGAUAAUUGGAAUAGUAAGGUGGUAAUUGGAAUAGUCACGUGAUAAUUGGAAUAGUCACGUGAUAAUACGGAUAGUAACAUUAUGAUAUAGAUUUGUCUGGAAAUGUGUUUUCAAUAAUAAACCAUUUAGAUUUGUUUGAUAAAAGAGUGAUAAUUUAUGUAUGUGUGUAUAGAAUAAAUGCACUAUAAGUCCAAGUAUGUGAACUUGAGACGGAUGUGUGUCCUCAGAUCUGAUACGCGAGAUGAAUGGUUGCUACCAUGGUAAUUUAUCAGUUUUCUAUACUAACUGUCGUCAUAACUGUUUUAAGCAUGUGUACUUUCAUCAUUACGAACAAAAAGAACUCAUUGAAAUAAAACCUGAUGAAAUUAA